rnacentral:rRNA from 1 species
UAGGGAAUCUUCGGCAAUGGGGGGAACCCUGACCGAGCAACGCCGCGUGAGUGAAGAAGGUUUUCGGAUUGUAAAGCUCUGUUGUUAAGGAAGAACGAGUGUGAGAAUGGAAAGUUCAUGCUGUGACGGUACUUAACCAGAAAGGGACGGCUAACUACGUGCCAGCAGCCGCGGUAAUACGUAGGUCCCGAGCGUUGUCCGGAUUUAUUGGGCGUAAAGCGAGCGCAGGCGGUUAGAUAAGUCUGAAGUUAAAGGCAGUGGCUCAACCAUUGUAGGCUUUGGAAACUGUUUAACUUGAGUGCAGAAGGGGAGAGUGGAAUUCCAUGUGUAGCGGUGAAAUGCGUAGAUAUAUGGAGGAACACCGGUGGCGAAAGCGGCUCUCUGGUCUGUAACUGACGCUGAGGCUCGAAAGCGUGGGGAGCGAACAGG